rnacentral:rRNA from 1 species
GACGAACGCUGGCGGCGCGCCUAACACAUGCAAGUCGAACGAGCGAGCGAGAGCUUGCUUUCUUGAUCGAGUGGCGAACGGGUGAGUAACGCGUGAGGAACCUGCCUCAAAGAGGGGGACAACAGUUGGAAACGACUGCUAAUACCGCAUAAGCGCACGGUGCCGCAUGGCACAGAGGGAAAAGGAGCAAUCCGCUUUGAGAUGGCCCCGCGUCCGAUUAGCUUGUUGGUGAGGUAACGGCCCACCAAGGCGACGAUCGGUAGCCGGACGGAGAGGUGGAACGGCCAGGUUGGGACUGAGACACAGCCCAGACUCCUACGGGAGGGAGCAGAGGGGAAUAUAGCACAAUGGAGGAAAACCUGAUGCAGCGGCGCCGCGUGGAGGAAGAAGGUCUUCGGAUUGUAAACUCCGGUUGUUAGAGAAGAUAAUGACGGUACCCGACAAGGAAGUGACGGCUAACUACGUG